GAUCCCAGCCAUUAACGAAGUCCCAAGCUACCCAUCCCGUGUCUGCAGAUUAAGCAUCCCAGCCUCAAAACAGAGUUCAUCUCCCCUGCUUCCAUGAUUCCUCCCAAGCUUCCCAGCCAUCAACCGAAUCCUCAAGUUCUUUCUCAGGCGGGAUAAGCCUUCCGAAACGCCCAGAUCUCAUCCCGUUUGGAACGGAGUCCCAUCG
rnacentral:lncRNA from 1 species